ACGGCGCGGCCCGGGAGGGCUGGGCGGGGAGGGGGCUGCACGCCCCCCUUGUCCGGGAGCCAGGAGCCCCUCUUCCUGGCUUCCUCCCUGGCCUGGGGUGGGCAGGGAGCGGGGGCGAGCAUUCGCUCUGGGCAGAGAGGAAUCCUAACCUGCGGGCCAGCCGGCAGGUGCCAGGGGCUGUACAGGCGGCAGAGGCCAAGUGGUGAGAGGGUCUGCCCUGGAGGCAGGGACGGGGCAGGUACAGCCCUGCAGGACAGACGGGGUCCCAAGACAGGUCACAGACCAUCAGGUAUAUGGAAGAAGGGCCCUGAAUUCAAGAUCCCUGCUCUCACGCCCACCCUGCUCAUGGUCCUACGUUUUCCUGUUUCCUCCCGGACGCGUACUGCCGCUUUCAGGUAGAGCAGCCAGGUGUGAUUUCCUCAUGCCAAGGCCAGGCAGCCUUGGUGUCUGAACUGGUGUCUGCUUCCCAGAGGGAGGGCUUUGCCCCGGCCCUGGGCUCUGUGGAUGUUGGGGUGCAGCAUGCUCAUCCCCAAAGAAGCCAGAGCCUGUUUCCAUCCCACCUCGAACCUGUGGGUCCCUGAGGACGCACAGGGCACGGGAAAUGCCUUUGGACUUGGCAAGGAAACGCAGGCACCCAGUAGGCACAGACUGCACUGCACCAGCCCCUUGGCCACACUGGCCUCCUAUCCUGUCCCUGCCAGCCCCCUCUCCAGGGCACAUCCAUGUCCUCAGUGCCUGAAGAGCUCUCCCACCCACUUCUCCUCCUGCGUCUUGACUCCAGCCUCUCCUCAUCAUGGCCUUCCCCGUAGCCCCUGUUCCCAGCCCCUGCCCGAAUCCCUGCACCCUCACUGCAGUGGGCAGUUUAGCGCAGACAGCGUGCUGCCUGGUUUGCUCUGUCUCCCUCCAUCACUGUUGGCUCUGCAAGAGCGAGAAUAGACGGGAAGCCCGAGCCAGCAGAGCUGGGCACGUGAUGGUGCUCACAGCCUCCGUAUUUUUUGAAUGAAUAAGGGACUUUAUUAAACACCUGCCUGGUGCCUUGUGUUCACCCUCUUAGGGCCUCAUCGAAUUCCCAGGCUGGUGUCCUGGCCCAGCUCUGUCAGGUGCAAACACCGAUGGUGGGUGGGGACCUGCUCCAGGCAUGACUAGGCCUCCAGUGCCUGAUGUUCCUGGAAGCAGUGGGCUCCCCAGGGACACCUCUAGGAACCUGGGGAGCUGUAAAGGCUGGGGCUGGGGCAGGUGGGGCUGAGAACCCUUUGCUGUUCAGUGGCCAGCCUUGCACGGGUGCCUGGGGCAGCCUCUGCCGCUGGUUCCUUCAGGAGCAAAAAGCUGUUCCCCGCCAAAGGGAAGGGGUCUCUCCGUGUAAUGGGGGCAGGUAUAGGCUCCCUUCUCCCUCAGGCCGUGAGGACUGUGUGCGUGGCAGAAGUGGGCACAGCCAAGGAGCCUCCACACCAUCCUGAGUCCUUACCCGUGCCCAAGAAGUGGCAGCAGGUGGUUGGUGCCCGCCCCCCCCCCCCCGAAGCCCUUUUGUUCAGGCCCCGCCCGUCCCAGCCUUCCUCCCCGCCGUGUAAGGUCCUCGGAGGGAGCCCGCUGCUCUGCGAAGCCCAUCUCCUAGCAACGCCAUCACCCCGUGGCCUCUCCUGCGGAGUUUACAGACAGCAUGGCAGCUGCUCUGAAGGUGCUGGCAGCCGUCUGCAAGGGCUGCCCCUGCAGAAAUGGUGACGGGGCGUGUCCCUUAAAAUUCAAAAAGAGCCCCCUUCGUUCUCCCCCUUCCUCACUGUCCUCACUGUAGGAAGGGACAGGGAUCGACUAGGCUGGAGACCCCUCAUUUCAGACCUGGCCGGUCCAUCCUCAGGCCAGCUCGGAGCCGGGCUCUCUGCCAGGCGUCACCCAGACAUUUACUUUUCUUUUUAAUGAAAUUAAAGUGAUUAAAAUUUUA